UACGUAGGCAGCGAGCGUUGUUCGGAAUUACUGGGCGUAAAGAGUGUGUAGGCGGUGCUCUAAGUUCGGUGUGAAAUCUCCUGGCUCAACUGGGAGGGUGCGCCGGAAACUGGAGUGCUUGAGCGUGGGAGAGGAAAGCGGAAUUCCUGGUGUAGCGGUGAAAUGCGUAGAUAUCAAGAGGAACACCUGAGGUGAAGACGGGUUGCUGGGCUGACACUGACGCUGAGGCGCGAAAGCCAGGGGAGCAAACGGG
rnacentral:rRNA from 1 species